rnacentral:rRNA from 1 species
GACGAACCGAGCGAACGUUAUUCGGAAUCACUGGGCUUAAAGGGUGCGUAGGCGGCCAUGUAAGUGAGAUGUGAAAUCCCUCGGCUCAACCGAGGAAGUGCAUUUCAUACUGCAUGGCUUGAGGGAGACAGGGGUAAGCGGAACUGAUGGUGGAGCGGUGAAAUGCGUUGAUAUCAUCAGGAACACCGGUGGCGAAAGCGGCUUACUGGGUCUCUUCUGACGCUGAGGUACGAAAGCUAGGGGAGCGAACGGG